rnacentral:rRNA from 1 species
CCUACGGGUGGCUGCAGUGGGGAAUAUUGGACAAUGGGGGGAACCCUGAUCCAGCCAUGCCGCGUGUGUGAAGUAGGCCCUCGGGUUGUAAAGCACUUUCAGUGAGGAAGAACGCCUGGUGGUUAAUACCCAUCAGGAAAGACAUCACUCACAGAAGAAGCACCGGCUAACUCCGUGCCAGCAGCCGCGGUAAUACGGAGGGUGCGAGCGUUAAUCGGAAUUACUGGGCGUAAAGCGCGCGUAGGUGGCUUGAUAAGCCGGUUGUGAAAGCCCCGGGCUCAACCUGGGAACGGCAUCCGGAACUGUCAAGCUAGAGUGCAGGAGAGGAAGGUAGAAUUCCCGGUGUAGCGGUGAAAUGCGUAGAGAUCGGGAGGAAUACCAGUGGCGAAGGCGGCCUUCUGGACUGACACUGACACUGAGGUGCGAAAGCGUGGGUAGCAAACAGGAUUAGAUACCCCAGUAGUC